CAAUUAAAAACUAUUUAAUAAAAAUACAUACUGUGCAGAAGUGGGUGUUUUCAAUUAUUCUCUAUAAAAGCUGAUCAGGGAUCUUCUGCAGAGGAUUGUGGGUUUGAACGUGGGGUGAAGAAAGUGUUGAGAGCAUCCAGAAAUUAAGGGUGCAUUCACACCUGUCUUGUUUGGUUCGAUUGAAUCGAACUCAAGUUUGUUUCCCCCCUUGAUGCAGAUCUCACUCGGGUGUGGACCAAACAACUGCACCGAGACCCAGCUGAAGAGGUAGUCUCGGUCCACUUCCAAAUGAACUCUGGGAAAUACUACACUGGUGCCGAAACCCGGGAGUGGAAAGAGAAUGACGUCGCCACGAUGCAAACACCUUCAGGACCAUCGGGAUCGCCAUUUGCAGAGAUCAUCACAUCGCUCGUGGGUCUACAUCAAGAAAACCACCAAGACCUGCUGGACUUGCGGGCGGACCAGGACCAUCGGUUCCAAGCCCUGAUGCAAGCCCAGCAGGAGGACCACAAGCUGUUCCGGAGCUUGCUGGACCGGGAGGUUCAGACGAGGUCGGCUUCCCCCAGUUUCAUCCCCCCCACUCACAUGUCUCUCACCAAGAUGGGGCCCGCGGAUGACCCAGAGGCUUUCCUGGACUUGUUUGAGAGGAUGGCCGAGGCAUGUGAGUGGGCAUCGACCAGCUGGCCAGUGCGGUUGAUUCCGCUGCUGUUGGGGGAAGCCCAGAAGGCUGCCCAACAACUGCCCAUCCAAAACCUCCUAGUGUACGCAGACUUAAAAUGGGCAAUCCUCCAGAGGGUCGGCCUCAGUCCAGAACAGCACCAUCAAUGCUUCCGAUCAUUGGAAUUGACGGAAGCAGGCCGACCCUUUGUCUUGGCCCAGCAGCUCUGGGACUCGUGCCGCAAAUGGCUGUUGGCCGGAGGAAGCGAUGCCGAGGCCAUCCUCGACAAGGUGGUACUGGAGCAGUUCGUCUCCUGUCUGCCGAGGAGGAAGGCCCAGUGGGUCCAGUGCCACCAGCCGGCGUCGAUGGAUCUGGCCAUCCAACUGGCGGAGGACCAGUUGGUGGCAUGCUCCGGUGUCGGCCAACCCCUCCCAUCUAUCUCUCUCUCUCUCUCUCUCUCUCUCUCUCUCUUCCCUUGUUCCUCUUUCUUCCUCUUCCCCUAAUCCCGUUCCCAGGACCCGUUUUGCUGGCCCACCGAGGGCCGCCCCCCCGCUGGAGGAUGGGAACCGAGGCCCCGCCCGGGGAGUGGGGGCACCCCACCAGGAGGGGCUCAACGAGGCUCCUACCAUCUCCCCACGCCAAUUCCUUGACCCACUUCCUGCCACUAGGGCGGCGGGGAAGCCUGGGCCAGCCUGUUGGCUUUGCGGGGAUCUGGGCCAUUUUGUGGAUCGAUGCCCAGCCAUGGAGGUGGGGACAUUGGUCCGGAUCCCAGAUGACCUGCAGGCCGCCCCCAAUCAAGCCGGGUUAUACCAGAUACCUUAAUUGGCGUGGGGAGACGGUAUAUAAGCGAGGAAGAAGAGAUAGCUGAGGACUCGUGGGGACUAGGAAGCCGGAAGCCAGAGAAAUUCAGACGAAUAUUGUGAGAAAGUGAAUAAGUGUGUGCAUGUAGCACAAUUGUUUUUGUUAUUGUAAAUAAAAUACCCACGUGCCUCAGACAGCCGACCCCGGUCUCCUUCCUUCUCACAAGAACAAGGGAAAUACUACAAUAUUUAAAAAAAAAAAGUUUUUCAAGGAGCAAGAGAAUAUAUUUAAAUGUUUUAUUUAUUUUACAAUGUUUUUGACAAUACAGAG
ensembl:lncRNA